rnacentral:lncRNA from 1 species
UUUCCAGUGAAGCCAGACAAAGAACUGUAGAGACUAAUUUUACCCAUUUUUUCUCCUUUCCUGAACAGUCUCUAGCAUGCAACCUUGUCUGGGAUGUGCUACAAUGCAAACAAGCCACCAUCACCACAGAUGCAGCAUUUUCUAAUGGUGGUUGCAUAGCCUUAACCAAAAACAAAAGGAGCUGUUAUCAGAGGUGCUCAAAAUCACACAGAUGUGUUUUCUUUUCAGGGUGAAAGGAAGGUGCUUUUGAUAGAUGUGGAAGAAUCUGCAGAUCUGAGACUGAGGCAGCAAAAUGGGGAGCUAAAUUUGCAGUAAGAAAACUCUGCAUGUGGUAAUGGAUAUAUUAUUUACUGGACUGCCUGCAAGAAGGUAAACCACUAAUGGCACAUAUAACUCUUAUAAUUAAAAGCCACAUCUGAUGGAACAGUCGUCUGUGAAAGCAAAGAAGAGGGGAAGAUGAAAGUGCCACCAGUACAAGCCAACAGUCCAGCUAUAGCUCUCAGCAGCAGCCAGAGACCCAAAAGAAAUGAUAGAUUCUCCCUGUCCUGGGCCCGAGUCACAGCCUACAUCAUGUCACCUUAUGGAGAUGGUGCUUCCCCCAGCCCAGCUGUGUCAGAACACCACAGCCUUGACCAGAACUACUCAGCUAUCGUAUGUUAACCUGGACUCAAUUGCAUCCUCGGCAGAGGAUGGGAGCCUUGCUUCUCAUCUGACCAUGCUUCCAGACCAGGAGUCACACUGUCUCUCUUCAGUUCUCUACCAGUUGGACACAUCUGUAUGCAGGGCACCAGCACCGCUGUGA